ACCUGGCUAGCUCAGUCGGUAGAGCAUGAGACUCUGACUCUGCAGGUCGUGGUUUCGAGCCCCACGCUAGGUG